rnacentral:rRNA from 1 species
CACACCGCCCGUCACACCAUGGGAGUCAGUUGCUCCAGAAGUGCCUGUGCUAACCGUAAGGAGGUAGGGUACCAAGGAGUGAUUGGUGACUGGGGUG